rnacentral:rRNA from 1 species
AUACGUAGGGGGCGAGCGUUGUCCGGAAUGAUUGGGCGUAAAGGGCGCGUAGGCGGCCCGGUAAGUCUGAAGUGAAAGUCCUGGUUUUAAGCUGGGAAUUGCUUUGGAUACUGUCGGGCUUGAGUGCAGGAGAGGUAAGUGGAAUUCCCAGUGUAGCGGUGAAAUGCGUAGAGAUUGGGAGGAACACCAGUGGCGAAGGCGACUUACUGGACUGUAACUGACGCUGAGGCGCGAAAGUGUGGGGAGCAAACAGGAUUAGAUACCCUGGUAGUCCACACUGUAAACGAUGAAUGCUAGGUGUAGGGGGUAUCGACCCCUUCUGUGCCGCAGUCAACACAAUAAGCAUUCCGCCUGGGGAGUACGGCCGCAAGGUUGAAACUCAAAGGAAUUGACGGGG